AUGAACGCUGGCGGCGUGCCUAAUACAUGCAAGUCGAGCGAACGGACGAAAAGCUUGCUUCUCUGAUGUUAGCGGCGGACGGGUGAGUAACACGUGGAUAACCUACCUAUAAGACUGGGAUAACUUCGGGAAACCGGAGCUAAUACCGGAUAAUAUUUUGAACCGCAUGGUUCAAAAGUGAAAGACGGUCUUGCUGUCACUUAUAGAUGGAUCCGCGCUGCAUUAGCUAGUUGGUAAGGUAACGGCUUACCAAGGCAACGAUGCAUAGCCGACCUGAGAGGGUGAUCGGCCACACUGGAACUGAGACACGGUCCAGACUCCUACGGGAGGCAGCAGUAGGGAAUCUUCCGCAAUGGGCGAAAGCCUGACGGAGCAACGCCGCGUGAGUGAUGAAGGUCUUCGGAUCGUAAAACUCUGUUAUUAGGGAAGAACAUAUGUGUAAGUAACUGUGCACAUCUUGACGGUACCUAAUCAGAAAGCCACGGCUAACUACGUG
rnacentral:rRNA from 1 species